UGGCUCAGAGCGAACGCUGGCGGCAGGCUUAACACAUGCAAGUCGAGCGGGCAUCCUUGUGGUGUCAGCGGCAGACGGGUGAGUAACGCGUGGGAACGUGCCCUUUGGUUCGGAAUAACUCAGGGAAACUUGAGCUAAUACCGGAUACGCCCUUUUGGGGAAAGGCUUGACUGCCGAAGGAUCGGCCCGCGUCUGAUUAGCUGGUUGGUGAGGUUAUGGCUCACCAAGGCGACGAUCAGUAGCUGGUCUGAGAGGAUGAUCAGCCACACUGGGACUGAGACACGGCCCAGACUCCUACGGGAGGCAGCAGUGGGGAAUAUUGGACAAUGGGGGCAACCCUGAUCCAGCCAUGCCGCGUGAGUGAUGACGGCCUUAGGGUUGUAAAGCUCUUUUCUCCGGGACGAUAAUGACGGUACCGGAGGAAUAAGCCCCGGCUAACUUCGUGCCAGCAGCCGCGGUAAUACGAAGGGGGCUAGCGUUGCUCGGAAUCACUGGGCGUAAAGGGCGCGUAGGCGGCUGAUUUAGUCGAGGGUGAAAGCCCGUGGCUCAACCACGGAAUGGCCUUCGAUACUGGUUGGCUUGAGACCGGAAGAGGACAGCGGAACUGCGAGUGUAGAGGUGAAAUUCGUAGAUAUUCGCAAGA
rnacentral:rRNA from 1 species